rnacentral:lncRNA from 1 species
AUGACACAAAUCUUAAAUAUGUAUAUUUAUUUUACAGUUGCAAACAAACAGACCCCCAUCACUGCCACAAAUCCCACUCUCUCCACCCUCAGUUCAGCAGAGAAGCCUUAUUUUACCACCAUGGGAAAAACAAUGGACACGUCUACGACUCUCGGACAGACCACCUUUACAACGACACACACAGUUGCCACAACAGCAGAAACUUCCCAGAACACAACUCUGAGGACCACAACAAAGGAGGAGGAGCCUAUGACCACAACCGAUAGUGUAACACUUUCCUCGUCCAGUACACUGACAGACAGAGAAAAUCUGACCACAAUGUCCUUACAGUCCACCAGUUCAAGCAACACCAGCACCACCGUCCCCACCCUUAAAACCAGCACCAACGCCAGCACCGCCAUCAUACCCAGCUCCGCCAUCAUACCCAGCACCGCCAUCUUACCCAGCACCACCAUCAUACCCAGCACCGCCAUGAUACCCAGCACCGCCAUCAUACCCAGCACCAACACCAUUACAGGACCCAAUAAUGGUGAAAGCCUAUCUUCUAAAGCUGUGGGAGGAAUAGCUGCAGGAACAGUAUUACUGCUGAUUGUUGUCGCUGGGUCAGCGGCAGGAAUAUUUAUCUUGUGUAGACGACAAGAUGUCAGCAGCACAGCGGUGGAGAUGAGACAGCCCCCCGGCUCGGAUCAACCCCUGUUAGACACACACACUGCAACCUUACUUACCAGCUGCCCAGACUCUGCCCAAAAUCCCAAAACAGACCCAUUAAUUGUUGUUCAGCAGGCAUAAUCCGUUGGACGUCUUUUUUUUUUUUUGUGAAUGCUUUUGCCAUGUAUAUGUGUGUGUGUGUGUAUAUAUAUAUGUAUAUGUCUGUAUGUAUAUACAAAAAUACAGUUGUAUGUUUUUCAUAAACAUAAAACUAAAUAAUAAAGUUAAGUUCUUGUAAAGUUCA